rnacentral:tRNA from 1 species
UUCUUAUUAGCUCAAUGGUAGAGCUGGGCAUUCCUAAUGCUUAGAUCUGAGUUCAAAUCUCAGAUAAGAAC